rnacentral:rRNA from 1 species
GACGAACGCUGGCGGCGUGCCUAAUACAUGCAAGUAGAACGCACAGUUUAUACCGUAGCUUGCUACACCAUAGACUGUGAGUUGCGAACGGGUGAGUAACGCGUAGGUAACCUGCCUGGUAGCGGGGGAUAACUAUUGGAAACGAUAGCUAAUACCGCAUAAUAUUAAUUAUUGCAUGAUAAUUAAUUGAAAGGUGCAAUUGCACCACUACCAGAUGGACCUGCGUUGUAUUAGCUAGUAGGUGAGGUAACGGCUCACCUAGGCGACGAUACAUAGCCGACCUGAGAGGGUGAUCGGCCACACUGGGACUGAGACACGGCCCAGACUCCUACGGGAGGCAGCAGUAGGGAAUCUUCGGCAAUGGACGAAAGUCUGACCGAGCAACGCCGCGUGAGUGAAGAAGGUUUUCGGAUCGUAAAGCUCUGUUGUAAGAGAAGAACG